rnacentral:rRNA from 1 species
CAAUAGCGUAUAUUAAAGUUGUUGCAGUUAAAAAGCUCGUAGUUGGAUUUCUGGUAGGAGUGACCGUUCCGAACUUGAUUGUUCGUGUAUUGUGUUUUCUCCAGCCAUCCUUGUGGAGAACUUUUCUUGCAUUAAUUUGUAGGGAUUGGGACCCGCAUCGUUUACUGUGAAAAAAUUAGAGUGUUUAAAGCAGGCAAUCGCUUGAAUACAUUAGCAUGGAAUAAUAAGGUAGGACUUUGGUACUAUUUUGUUGGUUUGCAUACCAAAUUAAUGAUCAACAGGAACAGUUUGAGGAUAUUCGUAUGAACAUGUCAGAGGUGAAAUUCUUGGAUUUUGAUCAGACGAUCUACUGCGAAAGCAUUUAUCAAGGAUGUUUUCAUUAA